rnacentral:rRNA from 1 species
GACGGAGGAUGCAAGUGUUAUCCGGAAUCACUGGGCGUAAAGCGUCUGUAGGUGGUUUAAAAAGUCUGCUGUUAAAAAUUGAAGCUUAACUUCAAAGAUGCCGUAGAAACUUUUAAACUAGAGUAUGAUAGGGGUAGGAGGGAUUUCCAGUGGAGCGGUGAAAUGUGUAGAUAUAGGAAGGAACACCAGUGGCGAAGGCGACCACCUGGACUGAUACUGACACUGAGGUGCGAAAGCGUGGGGAGCAAACAGG